GGAACUCGCGGAGGGGCUGCUGGGGGCUUCCAGGAGUGCGCAUGUGCGGACGGCUGGCUGCAGGCGGCCCGGCGGGCUGGAACCCGCCGCUGGACUGGCGCUUUUGUGUCCGGAGGCUUCGGCCUGGCCGCUGUCGCCUAUAAGCUACGAGGAGGAGCUUUACGACUUGGCCGGGCGCAGCAAAGGCCAGACUUUGCGCGAACAGGCGCCACGCGCCAACCGGCCGGCACCUGGCGGGCACCAUCGCACGGUGGCGCAGAAGCUCCUCAAUGGUCAGCGCCAGCUGCAGCAGCGGCCGCGCACUCGCCUCGCCUGAGCUUGGGCGAAUGUGCAUUGGGAAAGUCGACGUUAAUCAACUCAUUAUUCCUCAUAGAUUUGUAUUCUGCAGAGUAUCCAGGUCCUUCUCGCAGAAUUAAAAAGACUGUACAGCUGGCAGCCUGUUAUCGAUUACAUUGAUAGUAAAUUUGAGGACUACCCAAAUGCAGAAUCAUGCACGAACAGACAUCAGAUGCCUGAUAACAGGGUGCAGUGUUGUUUAUCCUUCAUUGCUUCUUCAGGACAUCGACCAUUACAUAGCUGAAGACUCCCACCUUCAAGCAGGAUUGCGUAGUACAUGUUUGUAACUACUUCACAUUGCCUUGUGUUGAGACAAACCAUUGGAUAUUGAGUUUAUGAAGCGUUUGCAUGUAAAAGUGAAUAUCAUCCCACUUAUUGUCAAAGCAGGCACACUCACACCAGAGGAAUGCCAACAGUUUAAAAAACAGGUAACUUUUCAGUUCACACACAACAGACUGAUUUUCCUGUGGAAGACCUCACAGGAGUUCUCUUGAACCAGGAGACUGUUUUGAGCUGAAAUACCUGGAGCCCUCUCUAGCUGUUUGGGCCUUUCAAUUUGAAACCCAGGUUUGGACGAUUCUAAGCCCUAUGGCAGAGACUGUAAUCAUUUUCUCUUCACCCUCAGGGUGGGGACUCACACUCAGGGUUGGGAGUGACUGCUGUCUCUCAAGCCCCCACCAAUUACACCAUGUUCUGGUUGUUAAAAUCCAGUGUAUGCAUGAAAUGUAAUAAAAGUAUCUUUGCAGCACUAAGCAGAGUGUUCCUUGUUGUGAGCAGACAAUUCCUCUUCCUCCUUGGAAAAAAAUCUCUAUGCACUUUCUACCUUUUCACGUUUGUCUCUUCCUCUACACACACCUCAGCUGCUGCUUUAUUUCCACAUGUCUCAUGUAAGGAUCUUUUUUUAUGUGGUAACCUUGGCUUUUCCCACUGUUCAUGCUUCCACGAGUUGGAUGUAGGCAAUAUAGGAGCCCACUGCAAAAGUGUAGGUGAUACUGUCCAGAAAGAAACCUGAAUUUCAGAGGCUUGCUGAUGUGGAAGAAAGCCAAGAUAUUAGACUUGUAGAGCUUCACUCUGCUAGGUAGGUUGAAAUCUGGACACUGUGACUUCCAUAAAAACAAGAUAGUACGUCUGAAAACCAUCUGAAGUUUAAAAUAUACUGGGACUGCCUUACCUUUCUUGUUUUUCAUAAGUUGUAUUCCAAGCUUGAAAAGCUAAAACAAAGGCAAAGAACACUUCCUAUCUGUAACAAAGGUGCUUAAGCAGGAGGGUGGUCUCUCUUCCCGGUUCAACACUCCCUCAGGAACAGUAGGGAUUGGAAAUAGGUGAUUUCUCUGUCGUUUCCUCGGAAGCCACCAAUACCACUCGUCUGUAGCAAAACUCAAGGGUACCUGUGCUCCCCAGUGCCCCAGCCAGUAAAGGAGCUGUGACGCGUUCUCAACGCCACCACUGCCUUGAGGAAAACGAGGGAGAUCUUGCGGGAAAGUGUUUUCAGCUCACUUCUACAGGGAAUGAGCCCUCUCGUUUAUCGCGGACACCGAGGAAAGGCAGCGAUGGGCUUCGGGGCUGCACUCAGCCUCCCGGCCCACCCAGAUCCUCUGGCAGCCUCGGGCACUCACCCACUUCGCUUGUCCUCCGCCUUUGCUGCCACUGCAGCAGGUGCACACCCCACCACGUCCCUGCUUCCCUCUCGAGCUCUUUUCGCAGGUGGUCCUCAUUCUCCUCUCUGUCCGUUGUUUCUUGAGUGUCAGAACUGGAACCACAGCAUCCCCAAGAUGAAAUCCAUGCUGGGUUUUGCGACCACGGUGCUGGCCCAGGCGCCAGCAAGGGGACACAAGUGUGAUCCAAUACUGAGACAAGGACAGCUGUGGCUCUCUAGUCGCUUGAGAUGGGAGUGGCAGGACGCUGGAUGGCCGAAGACUGUCGGGGAAUUAGAGGUCUUCAACAUGCGAGAAGCAGAAACCAAUACGGAUCAACAUUCCCUACGGAUAUUCCAUAAGACUGAUUCAUAUUCAUAUUCCUGUAUUUCCUCAGUCACUCCAAUAUUGCCUGGGAACUUCUGGUAACAGCAAACCCAGGCCCCAUAUGAAAAAAACAGGAAAAGGUUUUGUCACAAUGGAAAAUACAUGCAGAGUAAAAGGGUAAGAAAUUUCUGAAGGAAAUCAGAAACGCCCCAAAUCAAGACUUGAUUCUUAUUACUCAUAAGAGAAGACUGAAGCUUUAACAAUUAAUCUGCUUAGAACUGCAAUGUAAACUGCACGCAGCUAUUACCUGAUUUUUAUUUCCACUACUUUUCUUCCAUCACAAGCCCUAUGCAGAAAAAAAAGUGCCUCAGCAUCACCCAAAGGAAAUGACACAGCAGGAGAGAGAAGGAGGAAGAGAAGAACCAGCUUUACAAGAUCUCUGGAUCAUGUUUCCAUGCCAACUGACGCCAGGAAGAAGCGGUCCAUGAUAUUCCCCAACUUUGGAAUUUUCUGUCAAGGUGAAUUGUGUUGGCCUCCGCAUUUCUCUCUCAUACACAGAGCUCUAUUUCAUGCCAACAAAGGAAAAAAAAAAAAGUUACUCAACACCCAGAAGGCAGAAAAGCGACCUCUCUCUCUCCAUCUGCAGAAGCCAAGCAAGAGUGUGGGCCUCCGUAUGCAUCCUUUCUUUUACUCACUUUCUAAAUGCUGUAACGGCUACCAUCUAUCAGGUGGUCACAAACCAUCUCUAAAGUCAAUCUGAGGUCAACCCACUCAACUUGUGAGGGAUCCACCUAUACUGCCUCUGCACCUGUAAUAUGACUAAGGAGACGGUGGCUGCACACGUAGUUAACACCGACUGUACUGUGACUCCGCCUUUCUGCAGCAGCUCUCCGGCUCUUUAGAAUCCUUUUGAGCCAAGCUGGACGUGAGGCAUAAAGGAGCUCUUUGCAAACGCCAGGGGGAAUUUCUUCAGGGUUAACUUAACUUUCAAUUGGCUUCAUUCUAAGAGAAAUAUGUGGAGUAAACAGGAACUUUUUUUCUCAUCUUUUGCAUUUCAAGCAAAAACUAAUAAUAAAAUUAGAUGUUUCCACUGUCAGGCUCAGUCUCAAAGAUGCCAACAGAUCCCGCUUCUAACUUUUAACACAGGCACGCAGGAAAUCGGGAAAUCCCUGCAGCUCCCUCAGAAGCUACAGUAUCAGCAGUUCCUGAAGCACAAGCCAAAACCCAACAUCGCGUACUCCUCCAAAGAGCUCAGCCUUUCUGUUGAGAGACGGAAAUAGCGGCGAGGUGCUCUGGAAGCCAUGACAGCCUGGCCGAAAUGAACCAGGUCCCCUCCUGGUCGAGCCUACCUCCCUAGGGACAAGAAACGUACCUCUCUUCCCUCAUACCCAGAGGAAGCAACAGAGGGAUGUGGCGCUUAGACUCACUCUACCAUCCAGUCCAUCGAAGUCCUAAUAAUCUUCAAGAUGCAACAGAGCGAGACUCCGUCUCAAAAACAAAACAACUCUAAGGAAGAGAGAGAAUGUACUGGAGGAUAGGAAGUAUCUAGGAGAGCCUUCUUUUUUUUUUUUCUUGUAUUUAAAUUUAAGCCUUCAUUUAUAUAAAAUAAAACGCAUGAAACCUA